rnacentral:misc_RNA from 1 species
UUUCCGUAGGUGAACCUGCGGAGGGAUCAUUACAGAGUUCAUGCCCUACCGGGUAGAUCUCCCACCCUAUGUUAUUAUUACUUUGUUGCUUUGGCGGGCCGUUAGGCUCCGGCCCGACUACCGGCCCCGGCUGGUCAGCGCCCGCCAGAGGACCCAAAACCCUGAAUAUUAGUGUCGUCUGAGUACUAUAUAAUAGUUAAAACUUUCAACAACGGAUCUCUUGGUUCUG